rnacentral:lncRNA from 1 species
AAUGGGCUGAUACACCAUUGCUGCAAACGCUGCAGGUCUGAAGUUUAUCUGGUUGGUUAACAGUGCGGGAUGAGAAUUUGUGGCAGUUUCUCACUGAGUUUCUCCAAGCACAGAGGAUUUGAACUGUGAUAAAUGCUGGAAGACAUCGGAUAGCUGCCAGGUGGGAUGGGUAUUGCCAUCUGCGAUUCCUUCCAGCAGCCCAAGCUCUCUCCUCAGACACUAUUUUUCAGGUAAAAUCCAGAAAUGUGAUUGGAUGAUGGAGCCAACCAAAUGAACAGCC